UGCUUUUGCUACCUUUCAUAGAAUCACAGAACCAAAGAACUGUAGGGUCAUAGAGUCAUAGAAUCACAGAAUCAUGGAAAGGCUUGGGUUGGAAGAGACCUCAAAGAUCACCUAGUUCCACCCUUCAUGCUCAUAUAUCUCUUUGGUCUGAAUCGUAACACCAUUAUUGUCACAGGUGCACAGCACAAGAGGGAGCUGAAGAACAUAGGUUAUGGGACUUGCCCAGGCUGAUGAGCAAAGUUGCAAUUAUGAAUAUGAAUAAUUGAGGUUGGCUUUCAUAUCAGCAGCCAGGUCUGUGAGACCAGCUCUUCAUGCAGUAUGGAGCAGUACGAGCUGGAGCCUCUUCUGGCUGAUCAUCAGGGUGAAGCAAACCACUGCAUUGUUACUUGGAAAUUGGCCAGGUUUGCAGCUGAAGCAUCAACACAAGCUGUCUAACAGCAUGUUGAUGCUACUGUCUUUGGGAAUGAUGCAGAAGAGUUCAUUAUUAGUGAGGUUCUGGAAACUGAGACCCACAGAUCUUUGAGAAGAUUGCCUUGGGAAG
rnacentral:lncRNA from 1 species